rnacentral:lncRNA from 1 species
ACAACUUCCCGCCUUUACAAAUCACUUAUCUACAAUGAAAUGUUUGGCAUCUAGUAUUAGCAACCCAACGCCACAAUUCUCUUCCAUAAUUCCAUACAACCAAUAUUUGCAAAGCAUUCCAAAAACCAACUUGAACAAUCGGUUUAUGUGUAUAUAUAUAUAAUCAUCAUUUCAAUACCACAUCAUCACACCAAAUCCCUUCACAAUUCAACAUAAUCCAACUAUGC